CUUGAUCUAUCCGGAAAUGAACGGAAAUUGAAGAUGAGGAGAAGGAGGAGGAGUUGAGACUCUAACACUCAAAAUGAGUCCAAUGCACAUGAUAUAUGAUGAUACCCCGUUACAGCAGGAGGGGGUGAAGGUCAGUAAGUGGAAGAGCGAGUGGAACUCGAGCCAACUACAAAGUGGUAGGGGUGUACUGCUGGAGGGUGUGUUUCAUAAGAAGAGACGACACAUUAUACAAGACACUAGCAAUAAGAAGUGUUGUUUUUGUGUCUUCCAUAUUGAAUUUGAUUGUGCUUGCUAGAGAAAGUUUGAUGCUGAAGGCAAAGAAAUUGAACCGAACUUUGGGCAAACAGCAAAAGUAAAAACUAGCUACCUCAACUCAUCAUACAGUAAGAACUGGAAUUCAUAAUGUACAUACAUAUAGUGACCAGCCUGUCUGGAGGUGUGUGUGUGUAAGUAAUGUAAUACCUGAGGACUGAGAUAUCUGCUUGAGCUGAAGCUGAGGGAGACUAGUCAGAAACUGUUGCCAAGGGAACACCCGACACAUUGAGUUAUGCCGAAGUGUGUGAAAGAGUUUGUUCUGAUCUGGUUGGGUUUGAGACAGGCAGUCACUCUCAGUCGAUUUGUUUUUGGGGAGAGAAUGAGAGCUAUGAUCAUGUGGAGUGUAGCCCAGGACAAAGAAUUAGACUGAAGACAAGAAGAGACUCUCUACUGAUAGAGUCAUUCACAAAGCUGGAUAGUGAUCAGCGAGCUCACUCAUCAAACUACACUGGAGGAGAGAAGACAGGACAGAGCUGGACUGAUAAGGUACUCGGACACAAAUCAACUGAUGAACCCAGCCAGGGAACAGGAGGAGGAGGAGGAAAAUGAGAGUAUGACUAUCAUUGGUGUUUGUGAUAAUGGAACUGUAUGGAGGUGGGAUGCUAAAUCAUAAAGAACCAAUAAUACACUCAACACACAAACUUAUUGUAAUACACUGUACAUCAGUAUACUGUGUAUACACCAUUAUUUUUCUAACAAACAAUAAUACAUUUUAAUUAUCAUUCACUGAUGCUAAAAGUAUAGUGUCAUGACUUGAA